rnacentral:rRNA from 1 species
CCUACGGGAGGCAGCAGUAGGGAAUAUUGCUCAAUGGGGGAAACCCUGAAGCAGCAACGCCGCGUGGAGGAUGAAGUUUUUAGGAUUGUAAACUUCUUUUGUUAGAGAAGAUUAUGACGUUAUCUAACAAAUAAUCACUGGCUAACGCCGUGCCAGCAGCCGCGGUAAUACGGAGGGUGCAAGCGUUACUCGGAAUCACUGGGCGUAAAGAGUGCGUAGGCGGGGUAAUAAGUCAGAUGUGAAAUCCUGUAGCUUAACUAUAGAACUGCAUUUGAAACUGUGACUCUGGAGUGUGGGAGAGGUAGGUGGAAUUAUAGGUGUAGGGGUAAAAUCCGUAGAGAUCAGGAGGAAUACUCAUUGCGAAGGCGACCUGCUGGAACAUUACUGACGCUGAUGCACGAAAGCGUGGGGAGCAAACAGGAUUAGAUACCCGGGUAGUC